AUUGAACGCUGGCGGCAUGCUUUACACAUGCAAGUCGAACGGUAACAGGCCUUCGGGUGCUGACGAGUGGCGAACGGGUGAGUAAUGCAUCGGAACGUGCCCAGAGGUGGGGGAUAACGCAGCGAAAGCUGUGCUAAUACCGCAUGUGAUCUGAGGAUGAAAGCGGGGGACCAGGCAGCAAUGUUUGGCCUCGCGCCUUUGGAGCGGCCGAUGUCAGAUUAGGUAGUUGGUGGGGUAAAGGCCUACCAAGCCGACGAUCUGUAGCUGGUCUGAGAGGACGACCAGCCACACUGGGACUGAGACACGGCCCAGACUCCUACGGGAGGCAGCAGUGGGGAAUUUUGGACAAUGGGCGCAAGCCUGAUCCAGCAAUGCCGCGUGCGGGAAGAAGGCCUUCGGGUUGUAAACCGCUUUUGUACGGAACGAAAAGGCCCUGGCUAAUACCUGGGGCUGAUGACGGUACCGUAAGAAUAAGCACCGGCUAACUACGUG
rnacentral:rRNA from 1 species